ensembl:ribozyme RNaseP_nuc Nuclear RNase P
UGAGGGAAGCUCUUCAGUGGGGCUACAAACUGAGUGCGUCCCUGCCACUCUUCUAUGGACGGCCCUUGGGAAGGUCUGAGACGAGGGCCAAUAGCGGCCCUAGCAGGGCCCUCCCUGAGCUCCAGGGAGGUGAGUUCCCAGAGUGAGGGCAGACUGGGCAGGAGUUUCAUAGCCCUCCCUGUAAGCCUCUUUUUGGCCACUUUCCAGCACUCUGGAAAAACAGCCUGGGGAUUUGGGUUUUAUAUCCACUUCUACCUCA